rnacentral:misc_RNA from 1 species
UGUGGGAGCGGGCUUGCUCGCGAUCGCAUCGACACGGUUUUCCAGCAAGACCGAGCUGAGUCAAUUGCGAGCAAGCCCGCUCCCACA